GACGAACGCUGGCGGCGUGCUUAACACAUGCAAGUCGAACGAAGCUUGAUUACGGAUUCUUCGGAAGAAGUAUGAUAUGACUGAGUGGCGGACGGGUGAGUAACGCGUGAGUAACCUGCCCUUCAGAGGGGGAUAGCGUUUGGAAACGAACGGUAAUACCGCAUGAUGUAUUUUGACCGCAUGAUCGAAAUACCAAAGAUUUAUCGCUGAAGGAUGGACUCGCGUCUGAUUAGGUAGUUGGUGGGGUAACGGCCUACCAAGCCGACGAUCAGUAGCCGGACUGAGUGGUUGAUCGGCCACAUUGGGACUGAGACACGGCCCAGACUCCUACGGGAGGCAGCAGUGGGGAAUACUGCACAAUGGGCGCAAGCCUGAUGCAGCAACGCCGCGUGAAGGAAGACGGUUUUCGGAUUGUAAACUUCUGUUCUUAGUGAAGAAUAAUGACGGUAGCUAAGGAGCAAGCCACGGCUAACUACGUGCCAGCCGCCGCGGUAAAAC
rnacentral:rRNA from 1 species